CCCUCCCCUGCAGCAGAAGAAGCGGGCCGACAGCAGCCUCUGAACACCGCAGUGCAUGCUACCGCUCAGCCUGCUCCUCUGUUCGCCUUUCUUCCACAGCAGCGACGACACGGAGGAAAACAGACGUCCUGUCUGUGAUUUUUAUCCCAAACACAGGAGGACUGCCCGCGUCCUGACAACCCUGCUCGCUCCCCCCCUGUCUGCCCGCAGUGCGGUGUGUGGUGUAAAUAGGACAGAACUCAGAAGAUAAAGUUGGCAGUUUCACCGCUGACUACUCACUGGAACGAAAACCAGAAGAACUACCGAUCCAGACCAGCUUCAGAGAACCAGGAGAGUCUGGUUUUUCCAGUCACAGACUUUCUGCGAGAUCAAAGCGGUUUAGUUGAUUUUAGAGAAUAUUGUGGAGUUCGAAAGCAUGGCCCUUUUUACCAACGAUGUGCACAGCCUGGGCUCCUAUUACUGCCUGAUCCGACGCAAGUUUAAGAGGAGGCGGAAGAAGCGCUCCGAACGCAAAGGUAACCCUAAGAGUUGAAGUUCUGUCGCCUUGUCUGAUGCUGGGACGCAAACAAGUGUUUGCAGCUUUGAAACAAGUGGUUUUAGGUUGUUUCUUUAUGACUUUAUGAAUGCUUGCUGAGUCCAGAAUAUUAAAUUUAUUUUUGUUUUUCAUGGCUGCAUAUUUACAGCAAAGUUUAUCCUAAACAGGUGAAUUUCUGUCAAUCUGUGAAUGUAGUUAGUUUGAUUUAGUCCUUUUCAAAGUUUGAAUAUUUUUUGAAAAAAAGGCAUGUUGAUAUAAAAAAUUUAAAAAUUUUCAAUUUUUUUUAGGAAAACCAAAAUAUUCCUUUUAUACCCAUGGCAAAAGACAUCUUCUCGACAAAACGAGUGACGUGACCAAAAUUUGUCUUGUUUUUUAUUCGUUUGAAGUUCAUAGUUUGAUUUAUCUUUGAUGGGCUAAAAGGAUCUCUGUGUAAAUUUACAGCCUUGUUAUAUACAGAUACAAUAAGAAAUGGGUGGGAACAUUUUUUCCUCCUGGAUUUACUUUAAAAGUUAUUCAUACCCCUUGCAGAUUUAGAUUUGAAAUCCUUAUCCCACUAAGUAGAUUGUUUUCACGGGAAAUGAGACCGACACCUCUAC